rnacentral:rRNA from 1 species
AACGUAGGUACCGAGCGUUAUCCGGAUUUACUGGGCGUAAAGCGCGUUCAGGCGGUUUGGCAAGUCGGGCAUGAAAUCUCUCGGCUCAACCGGGAGAGGUUGUCCGAUACUUCCAGACUUGAGGGCAGUAGAGGGUGGUGGAAUUCCGGGUGUAGUGGUGAAAUGCGUAGAUAUCCGGAGGAACACCAGUGGCGAAAGCGGCCACCUGGACUGCACCUGACGCUGACACGCGAAAGCAUGGGGAGCGAACAGG